rnacentral:rRNA from 1 species
AGCGAACGCUGGCGGCAGGCUUAACACAUGCAAGUCGAGCGGGCAUAGCAAUAUGUCAGCGGCAGACGGGUGAGUAACGCGUGGGAACGUACCUUUUGGUUCGGAACAACACAGGGAAACUUGUGCUAAUACCGGAUAAGCCCUUACGGGGAAAGAUUUAUCGCCGAAAGAUCGGCCCGCGUCUGAUUAGCUAGUUGGUGAGGUAAUGGCUCACCAAGGCGACGAUCAGUAGCUGGUCUGAGAGGAUGAUCAGCCACAUUGGGACUGAGACACGGCCCAAACUCCUACGGGAGGCAGCAGUGGGGAAUAUUGGACAAUGGGCGCAAGCCUGAUCCAGCCAUGCCGCGUGAGUGAUGAAGGCCCUAGGGUUGUAAAGCUCUUUUGUGCGGGAAGAUAAUGACGGUACCGCAAGAAUAAGCCCCGGCUAACUUCGUGCCAGCAGCCGC